AUGAUACAAACGUAUAACUUCAAGGGCGGAAGAUGCAAUUUUCUUUAUAACUGUAAAUUUAAUUUAUUGCUCUCUCAACUUCCUAUAGCAAGCAAUUCCUCUAGCUUGAGGGUGUCUGUUUGUGCAGUCUUUCUUGCAUUUCAGACUCAAAUCUUGAAAGCUCAGAUGCUGCGUGGCUAUUUCUUUCUUAAUUAA